rnacentral:lncRNA from 1 species
CACCGAUACCUAGACUCAAAGUCCAGUCGUCCUUGUCUGGCAACUAGCUACGCUCUCAUUGUCAACGCUGGUUAGACAACCGCCGGUGUGGGAAUACGAGCUCUGCAUCGUGGGAGCUUUUUUGACUAAGAAAGAAAUUAAUUUCCAAGCGAUGAGGAAGAGCCUUUCGAAUACCUGGAUGCCGAUGAAAGGAGUAGAUAUACUAGCCAUCGAGAACAUGCAUGUUCUUUUCCGCUUCGGCCACAAACUCGACGUUCGUCAUGUAAUGGACAAUGGCCAUGGUUUUUCGAUGGCCAUCUGCUACUUACUGUGUCAGCGCGAAACACCUCAAUAGGUUCCUCUACAAAUAGCUGAUUUGUGGGUUCUUGUCCACAACCUACCGUUCGGGUACUUUUCAGAGGCGGUCGAAACUGCACUUGGAGAAUCAGUAGGGAAAUCAGUAGGAGAAGAAGGAGGGGCAAUGAUGUAAUUGAACUUAUAAUGUUAAAUACCAUCAAAUGUUACAUAUCAAAUAUGAAUUUUAU